rnacentral:miRNA from 1 species
UACCACUGAAAUUGUUGUUCG